AUGAGAAGCUUGCUUCUCGGAUACUUAGCGGCGGACGGGUGAGUAACACGUAGGCAACCUGCCCUCAAGCUUGGGACAACUACCGGAAACGGUAGCUAAUACCGAAUAACGUCGCAAGACCAAAGAGGGGGACCUUCGGGCCUCUUGCCAUCAGAUGUGCCCAGAUGGGAUUAGCUAGUAGGUGGGGUAACGGCUCACCUAGGCGACGAUCCCUAGCUGGUCUGAGAGGAUGACCAGCCACACUGGAACUGAGACACGGUCCAGACUCC
rnacentral:rRNA from 1 species